AAUUCUCCACUUAGCGUUAAUUUAUUUUGUACACCUCGGUUCUUAGCAGUUUCGACCCUCGUCUACACUACAAGGUGCAUGCCUAGAUGAUUCACUUGUUUGGUGUGCAUGCGUGUCUGGCGCGUCUGUCGGAUGGACAGUCCACUGUGAAAAGGUGGGGCUGGCCUUUUGGUAAGCAGAACUGGCGCUGUGGGAUGAACCAAACGCCCGGUUAAGGUGCCUAACUCUGACGCUCAUGAGAUACCACAAAAGGUGCUGGUUAAUAUAGACAGCAGGACGGUGGCCAUGGAAGUCGGCAUCCGCUAAGAAGUGGGUAACAACUCGCUUGCCGAAUUGACCAGCCCUGAAAUGGAUGGUGUUGGAGCGUCGGACCUUUACCGGGCCGUCACCGCCAGCUGGAUCACAGGCUAUGCUUGGUGGUGUGAGCAGCAGAUGGCCGGUUGCGUGAACAACAAUCGGUCACUGUCUUGCGAAGUCAUCAUCCAGUAAAGGAGGCGGUGGCGAGUAGGAGGGUAGCCAUGAAGAGCGUGGAAGCCGCGGACGUGAGUCUAAGUGGAGCCAAUAUGGGUGCAGAUCUUGGUGUUAGUAGCAAAUAUUCAAGUGAGAAAUUUGAAGGCCGAGGUGGAGAAGGGUUCCAUGGGAACAGCAGUUUACUAUGGGUCAGACGGUCCUAAGCGAUCCGCUGUCUUGGUACAGAGACGUGCCAUGCCUUGCAUACUUCUCUCUCUGUGUGUGCGUGUGCGGGUCCGCCACCGGCAGCCACUCGAAGCGAAAGGGAAUCGGGUUAAUAUUUCUGACCCUACCCACGGAGAUAGGCAAGCGUUUGGCUAGGCCGUUAUUGUGUGCAAUUUUUUGGCAUAUGCAGCUGUGGUCCGUGUCUGGGCGUUGCUAAGCGCGAUAACUCAAGCAAACUCGGAGACAUCGGCUUCAGUUCCGGGAAGAAUUUUCUUUUCUUUGUAAGGAUUGCUCACCACCCCUGGAAUCAGGUGUUCCGAAGAUAGGGGUAUCGCCUGCGUAAAGCACCACCUCUCUUGUGGUGUCCGGAACACUCUGGUCAGUCCUUGAAAAUCCGAGAGAGGCAUUAUAAUUUUCGUGGCAGGCCGUACCCAUUUCCGUAUCAGGUCACCAAGGUGAACAGCCUCUGGCAAUAGAGUAAUGGAGGUAAGUUGAGUUGGCAUAUUUGAUCCGUAACCACGGAAAAAGGAUUGGCUUUGAGGGCCGAGUCAGACAUGCUGGGCAAAGAAACGUCUGCUCAGCCUGCGGCUGGCUAGUCGGCUAGGUGGACUGUGGCUGCAAUUACUGCUGCUGCUACAUCUGCUGCUGGGUUUACGCCGCUGCUUCCGCUGUGUGCUGCGUGCAUGCUGCAUUAUCUGUGUGGCGUUGUCAGGCCACUGGCCACGUAGCAUGGUGCGCGCGGGCGUGCAUGCACCUGGUUGUUUUGGAUGACUUGGUGGCGUGGUGUGACCUUAACCAGUUGCCUAACUGGGUGUAAGUUGGCAGGUCCACUUAUGCUUGUCCCUUGGUUUGCGCUGGUUGUUGCCGUUGCUAUUGUCGUGGUUUCGGCUACGAUGGUGGUUGCGGUGGUGGCGGCUGUGUAGCCUUCGGGAACUUGUCUGACGUCAAACGGCAGGAGUAACUAUGACUCUCUUAAGGGGUAGAGUCUAAGGCCCCCCGUUCCUGCGACCAGGGU
rfam:Schistocephalus solidus strain NST_G2 genome assembly, scaffold: SSLN_contig0003937